rnacentral:rRNA from 1 species
CGUGGGUAACCUGCCUUAUAGUGGGGGAUAGCCUUUCGAAAGGAAGAUUAAUACCGCAUAAGAUUGUAGUAUCGCAUGAUAUAGCAAUUAAAGGAGCAAUUCGCUAUAAGAUGGACCCGCGUCGCAUUAGCUAGUUGGUGAGGUAAUGGCUCACCAAGGCGACGAUGCGUAGCCGACCUGAGAGGGUGAUCGGCCACAUUGGGACUGAGACACGACCCAGACUCCUACGGGAGGCAGCAUG